UAUAAAUACAAUUGUGGUUUCCGUGUCUAAUAUUUGAUUGUCCGUCUUAUUUAAAAAAUAAUUAAUAUUUUUCCUUAUUAUUAGAUGAUAAAAAUAAAUAGUGUUUCAUAUAUGAAUUUUUAAUUUUUAUAAACUUUUUAAACGAGACGGACGCUUAAACAUUAGAUACGGAAAUACACG
rnacentral:pre_miRNA from 1 species